UCCAAAUCAAAAAGGGAAAAUCAAAAUUCCUUUUUUUUGACCCUGUUUUUCAUAUCUGCAUCCAUUUACACCCCUUUUUGCCAAAAAUAAGCCUUUACAAGUCAAAGUUCAUGGAAUUUUUCUGCAUCAUUGACAUUUAAAUGCAUUACACAGACAUUUAAAAUGAGUAACGUUCCUCUUAUUCUUACAAAAACUUAUGAAGCAUCAGAGGAACGUUCCUCUUUACCUAAACUAAAAUCUCUACAUUUCAUAUUAGGAACGUUCCUCUUUUCACUUCAACAGAAAUCUUCACAAAGAAUCUGAGGAACGUUCCUCUUUUCCCUUUAACAGAAAUCUUCACAAAGAAUCUGAGGAACGUUCCUCUUUUCCCUUUAACAGAAAUCUUCACAAAGAAUCUGAGGAACGUUCCUCUUUUCACUUCAACAGAAAUUCUGACAAUUCAUCUUGAGGAACGUUCCUCUUUCACUUCAACAGAAAUCUUCACAAAGAAUCUGAGGAACGUUCCUCUUUUCCCUUUAACAGAAAUUUUCACAAAGAAUCUGAGGAACGUUCCUCUUUUCACUUCAACAGAAAUUCUGACAAUUCAUCUUGAGGAACGUUCCUCUUUCACUUCAACAGAAAUUUUGACAAGUCGUCUGAGGAACGUUCCUCUUUUCACUUCAUUAUAUAAACUGAAAUCCUGACAAAGCAUCUGAGGUACGUUCCUGACUUGAAAUCUUUACACUGUAUCUUAGGAACGUUUCUCAUUUCACUUCAUCUGAAAGCUACAUAAAGCAUCUGAGGAAGGCACAAUCUUUCACAUGUUGAUUGUUUACUUUUUACAUGAAAUUUGUAUAAAGCAUCCGAGGAACAUUCCUCUUUUUUCCUUAAAUUGAAAUCUUUACAAUGCAUUCGAGGAAAGUUCCUCAUUUUAUUUAACAAAAUGUUUACUUCUCACCCGAGGACUUAAAAACUUUCCUUUUUUAGUAUUUUAAUCAUUACGCUAAAUGUGACUAGCAACAAUCCUCUUUGUAAAACUCAUAAAAGACAAAUUGAAACAACGAUUUUGACAAACCAAAAGUAAACUAAUUAAUCAUUCUAAAGGAGACUCAGAGUCUCAACUGACGUCAUCGUAAGACGUUGACUUCGAGGUGGAUAACAUCAAUUUUGAAGAUCUAGAAGAGGCGAAAUGAUUAAAAUACUUCUGAACAUUUUUCUAAGGAUUCACUUUUUUUAAAAUAAUUUUUAAGAUAAGUAAAUUUUAAAAAUAUAAAAACGUUACAUGAUAACCUGAAUAUUUGACCAUUUUACUCUGCAUUUGUGUUUUACGACAUUAAAACUAUUUCCUUAUACAAUAUCUUGUGCAGAGGGCGCAAAAUUGUAAACCCGCGACUGACCUUAAGUUUUUUGUUUCUAUACCCCCCCCCCCCAAACAAAGUUUAGGGGGUAUAUAAGAAUCACAUUGUCCGUCCGUCCGACUAUAAGUCUGUUCGUCUUCUGUGCAAUUGGACUUAAAAAAAGUUUUGCUUAAAUUAAUUGUAAAUAAUUGAUGUGCAAUUGUCAACAUUUUACUGGAAAAUCCUGAUUUUAUUUUUAAUAUCAAUCAUGAUGCAAAUUGAUAUGAUACAUUGCGGUGAUUAUUAUUGCAGGGAUGAUUUUCACUAAAACCCCUAUUGCACUUGUAGCUAAUAAGCACAAUUGAAAUUUAGAAGACAUGCUAAUUAUGUCACUUAUUAAAUAACUUGUUUAACAAGUGUGCAAAAUUACUCCUGAUGAUAGCGGGUUUAAAUAUAAAAUCAAAAACUCUGUGUCAAGCCGCUGAAACAACAAUAUGAUGUUGGUUAAGUAAUAUAAGGACUGAUGAAAAAGGGUGCACACACACACACCGUAAACUCGAGGUCACAACUCUAAUUAUGAGCACUCAGUUGGAGCGCAGUCAUUUGUUAGUAAAAGUUUGUAGGAAUGCAGUUACACGCUGCAGGAGCUGAGUAGAAAUCCCUUGGUCAACAGUCACAUUUUCACCUUGUAAAAAUUUAAAAUACAAAUGCACAAUGUUUUUGAAUUUCCCCGCGAACUCACAACAAUUCCAGAAAUAUAACAGUAUCGUGAAACUCUGGGGGAAUGCAAUCUGGUGUGACAGGACCUAAGCUUUGAGAAAACAAUCAGGUUACCAGAAAUUUGCAUUUGUCAAAUUCUUUGAGCUGGAUGAUAGUAACAAACAUUAUUAGGAUGUAAAAUUUGAAUUACAGUUCUCAUGUGAAAUGCAAUCAUUAUAUUAAUAUACAUGUAAAUUAUAUCUUGCACUAGCUAACAAUUACCCCCACCCCUUCCUAAUAAAAUCACAACAUACACGAGCUAUAAUUCAAUAGUGUACUCGUUGUUUUGAUAAAUCUACAAAUCUACCUCAGGUAUUUAUGAUGUAGGAUAUUUUAGGUAAAAAAAAAACAACUCACUUUUUGGCUUUCUUGGAGUACCUAUGUUUUUCAACUAGAAAAUAUCUAAUAUCAAAAUACUCCAGUAUAUUCUGUAAAUAACUUCUCAGCAUGCAUGGUCAAUAGAAAUGUCAUGACCUAAAGCCCAUAUUCCUCUGCUUCAUUUGGUUUGCUAAUGUCACCGCCGACCAUUUCAAGCUGAGUAACAACUACUUGUUACAUGCACAUGCUAAGGUCCUCUAUCAGAUGUCAAUCACUAACUGGAUGCUGAUAAGAUGUUCGGGGUGUGCUAAUAAUAGUAACUGUGUGAAAUUUGAGAGCUUUCAACAGCAGAUCACUGCUUUAGGAACAGAUGCAAAAUGUGGUCGCAAAUUUAAUUUAAGAUCCACGCUGCAUAUGUACUUUAUGAAGCAGAACAGAAAUAUUGUUUGGAAAUUGCAGUUGCAAACUUUGCAGGAUACAUGCAUCAAGGUAAUGAUGAUUGGCAGUGACAAAAUAUUUUGCCUGGUGGAUUUGAUUUGGAAUCACUGCAUUUGAAUUGUUUGCUGGUCUAGAGGAUGGGGAGCAUUAAUUUGGACAGAGCUUGAUCGGGAUGGAAAAUGCUUGAAGAUUAAGAUUCUAUAGAAGAUCUGGACAUCCCCCCUGGGAGGAAAUCAAUGAGGCCACAGAAAAGUUCAAAAGCCAUCCAGCUAGUCACACAGUAUGAACAGAAGAUAAACAGAACAGAAGAUAAACCUUGAUUCAUGUCAACCAUGUAUCAAAGACCGAAUUAAGUGAAAGUGCUUUCUGGAAAAUGAAGCUCUACUUGGGAACUUCAUCCUGAAUUCGAUGGAUGCGAGCUUUAUGUUUUUAGUAAUUAUAAAACCAUAUGCACUGAGACAAUUAUUAAUAUAGUUAAAUUCUUAAUUCUUAAUUAUAUACCGUAAACAUCUAAUCCAAUUACAAACUAAACUUGAUAUUUAAUAUAAAAAGAAAUAUUAAAUUGGUAUUCUCAAUUACAUGCCUAUGAAUUUUUAUUGAAAACAAUUAGUUAUAGUUUGAUCUACAAUACAAGAUCAAUUUUUGACAACAAUUAAUAUACAUGUAUUUGCCGCUUAAAAAAUACACAAGGGGCACCCAAAAAUGGCGCGAUACAAAAUAUUAAAAAUUCAAACUCUUUUUUACUUUAUAUGGAUUAAUCAACUUAGAAAAUUUUAGCUGAUCAUCAUCGGGACUGAGCGUUAGUCAAGUACUCGAGUACUUGUUAACAUCCUUAAUAUUUACGUUUAAAUGCCUAUUUAAUUUAAGAUUACCGGUAUUUUGCUUAUUGCUGUUUUUACUUUCAA